ACGGGGAUGUGUUUGAGAACACACAUGACGAACUGGACUUCGAGUUCUUGGGGAACAUAAGAGGGAAGGAGUGGAGGGUUCAGACUAACGUUUAUGGAAACGGAAGCACCGGCACCGGGAGAGAGGAGCGAUAUGGGUUCUGGUUCGAUCCGACAGAGGAUUUCCAUCAGUAUUCCAUCCUCUGGUCCAAUAACCGGAUUGUAUUUUAUAUAGACUCCACUCCAAUAA
rnacentral:misc_RNA from 1 species